AGAGUUUGAUCCUGGCUCAGAUUGAACGCUGGCGGCAUGCUUUACACAUGCAAGUCGAACGGCAGCACAGGGAGCUUGCUCCCGGGUGGCGAGUGGCGCACGGGUGAGUAAUACAUCGGAACGUGUCCUGUUGUGGGGGAUAACUGCUCGAAAGGGUGGCUAAUACCGCAUGAGACCUGAGGGUGAAAGCGGGGGAUCGCAAGACCUCGCGCAAUUGGAGCGGCCGAUGCCCGAUUAGCUAGUUGGUGAGGUAACGGCUCACCAAGGCAACGAUACAUAGGGGGACUGAGAGGUUAACCCCCCACAUUGGUACUGAGACACGGACCAAACUCCUACGGGAGGCAGCAGUGAGGAAUAUUGGUCAAUGGCCGAGAGGCUGAACCAGCCAAGUCGCGUGAAGGAAGAAGGAUCUAUGGUUUGUAAACUUCUUUUAUAGGGGAAUAAAGUGGAGGACGUGUCCUUUUUUGUAUGUACCCUAUGAAUAAGCAUCGGCUAACUCCGUGCCAGCAGCCGCGGUAAUACGGAGGAUGCGAGCGUUAUCCGGAUUUAUUGGGUUUAAAGGGUGCGUAGGUGGUGAUUUAAGUCAGCGGUGAAAGUUUGUGGCUCAACCAUAAAAUUGCCGUUGAAACUGGGUUACUUGAGUGUGUUUGAGGUAGGCGGAAUGCGUGGUGUAGCGGUGAAAUGCAUAGAUAUCACGCAGAACUCCGAUUGCGAAGGCAGCUUACUAAACCAUAACUGACACUGAAGCACGAAAGCGUGGGGAUCAAACAGGAUUAGAUACCCUGGUAGUCCACGCAGUAAACGAUGAUCACUAGCUGUUUGCGAUACAGUGUAAGCGGCACAGCGAAAGCGUUAAGUGAUCCACCUGGGGAGUACGCCGGCAACGGUGAAACUCAAAGGAAUUGACGGGGGCCCG
rnacentral:rRNA from 1 species